rnacentral:rRNA from 1 species
UAAGACGUAGGGAGCGAGCGUUGUCCGGAUUUAUUGGGCGUAAAGCGCGCGCAGGCGGCCGCGCAAGUCGGACGUGAAACCCCGAGGCUCAACCUCGGGACUGCAUCCGAUACUGUGUGGCUAGAGGUAGGUAGGGGAGAGCGGAAUUCCUGGUGUAGCGGUGAAAUGCGCAGAUAUCAGGAGGAACACCGGUGGCGAAGGCGGCUCUCUGGGCCUUACCUGACGCUCAGGCGCGAAAGCUAGGGGAGCGAACAGGAUUAGAUACCCUGGUAGUCCUAGCUGUAAACGUUGGGUGCUAGGUGUGGGCGGAUUUCGACCCCGUCCGUGCCGAAGCUAACGCAUUAAGCACCCCGCCUGGGGAGUACGGCCGCAAGGCUA